rnacentral:rRNA from 1 species
GCGGAGGAACAUGUGGUUUAAUUCGAUGAUACGCGAGGAACCUUACCUGGGCUAGAACGCUUCUGGAGUGUACGGGAAACCGUACAGCCCUUCGGGGCCGGGAGCGAGGUGCUGCAUGGUUGUCGUCAGCUCGUGCUGUGAAGUGUCGGGUUAAGUCCCUUAACGAGCGAAACCCCUGUCGCUAGUUGCCAACGGGUCAUGCCGGGAACUCUAGCGAGACUGCCGGCGUUAAGCCGGAGGAAGGUGGGGACGACGUCAAGUCAUCAUGGCCUUUAUGUCCAGGGUGUCACACGUGCUACAAUGGGGUGUACAGAGCGACGCAAAGCCGUGAGGUUGAGCAAAUCGCAGAAAACACUCCUCAGUUCGGAUUGGGGUCUGCAACCCGACCCCAUGAAGUUGGAAUCGCUAGUAAUCGCGUAUCAGCCAUGACGCGGUGAAUAUGUUCCUGAGCCUUGUACACACCGCCCGUCAAGUCAUGGAAGCUGGGAGUUCCCGAAGUCGCUGCGAUUCGGCAGUGCCGACGGAAAGCCUGGUGACUGGGACUAAGUCGUAACAAGGUAGCCGUAGGGGAACCUGCGGCUGGAUCACCUCCUUUCUA